UGUAGUAAGUCCCCACUCUAGUCCUCAGUGAGUAUUUUCCUUUAUCAGUCUCAACUGUAGACAGCACUGCUUGUCUGAAAGCUGGGAGGAUUAUGAAAAUGUGGUGAGUGAAGCAGAGUCAGGGAACCUGGCA
ensembl:scaRNA